rnacentral:lncRNA from 1 species
CGGUAACGCCAGGAUAGCUCUUGUGUCUUCUGCAGCUGGAAGUAAAGAAAUGAUUUUAAAACAAGAAGCUGAGUGGGUUGCACAGCUUUGGAUGGGAAGGCAGGCAGCGGUGCAAAGGCCUGGUUGCUCCAGCUCGUGGUUUCCACAGAAACCGCCGGGCAACGGUUGUGUCUCCUGCACGGUGAUACAGAAAAACAAUGAGGUAUCACUCUUAUCUGCUUGAGCUGUACUGAACUGACUGUCUCCCUUUAUGCGACCACUAGUGUUGCUAUGAGCUCUGCGGUUUGAGCAGCAAGGUGCUUGGCUGGCACUGAUGUGACAAACACAGCUCAACCUGUUCCUGUUGCCUUUAGGUUGAUAUUUCCUGACCAGUUCCCAGAAACUCCCUUCUCUGAGGAAGGGAGAGAGGAGAGACGAAUGUGAAUGUGUUAAGAGGGCUUUUAGACUGCUAACUUGCAUACAUGCACUUGUUUGUCAGCUGUGAGCACAGACGGACAAUGACUGAGGCUACAAGAUACUGACAGAGGAGAGAUCUAUACACAUCACAGUGUUAUUUAGGCCCAGCCAAGGCGUACGGUCUAAUCACACCAAUACCAUCUCACCACAUUAUAAACAGGAAAGAUGGAGGGAAGAAGGAGCGCUGGGGUCUUCAGUGGGAUGGCAAGCCAGCUGCACUUCAGCAGCCUGUGACUGACACAAUGGGAAUUCAAAGAUGUUUGGCACAGUCUGUUACCAGGACUGAACUAGCACAGAUAAUUGACCACCCUUUCUGAAGAAUGAGGCAAAGCCUCCACUGGAGGAGGUAUGUUGGCAAGCAGCAGGGGAAAGGACAGGAAUACGUACAGAAGGACUGAAAAGAGGCAGAGAGAGCGUAGCAGUGUCACUCGGUGCCUUUGCUGCACAUCUUGUUUGCUGGACUGGUUGUCGGACCUUUGAUAACGUUCUGCUACCCUGUGGCCCUGUUGGCAAAGAAGUGAUGAGAUGGGAAGCCUGCCUAUUUCUAUCUCAAAACUUUAAGGAGACCACAGGCAGCUGAAUUCCUCCAGAAAGGAGCCAAACUCCUCAGUCCAGGUGAGGAAUUUUCUGAUACUUUAUUAAGACACAACUGCUCUGAACCUGUCAAUGUCUGUGAAUUCUAGCAUCUCUGAAGCUUUGUGUUUAAUGUCAGUUUGGGAUUCAAAAGACCCAGGUGCCAGGACACUUGGGCUACAAAGAACAAAGCC